GUGAAAUCCAAAUCAGAGCUUCAUCCUGUCCAGCUUCACCUCCCAUUGUUCCUGAAGCAGUGCCACUUUUGUGACUGCACCUUCACAAAAUGAUCUUGAAACCAGACAUGGAAACAGAACAACAGGGGCACAUGGGAAUGGUCUGCUCAGAAGGAAAGUAUUGGAGCCAGGAUUAUAAGAGGAAGAGUUCCACCCCAAACACAUCACGGAAGGGGCAGGGGAUUUCUCCAGGAGCAAGACCUGAGUCCCAGCCUUUCAAGUGUUUAUGUGCUCCGAGCAAGUGCUGCCUUCCCCCGCUUGGCUUUGGCUGGCUUACCAGCAUUUGGGGAUCCUACCUGCUACUUGCAUGCCGUAGAAGAUUUCUAAUUUUCUGGUCCCAGUGA
rnacentral:lncRNA from 1 species